GACGAACGCUGGCGGCGUGCUUAACACAUGCAAGUCGAACGGAAAGACCCUGCUUUUGCGGGGUGCUCGAGUGGCGAACGGGUGAGUAACACGUGAGUAACCUGCCCUUGACUUUGGGAUAACUUCAGGAAACUGGGGCUAAUACCGGAUAGGAGCUCUUGAUGCAUGGUGGGGGUUGGAAAGUUUCGGCGGUUGGGGAUGGACUCGCGGCUUAUCAGCUUGUUGGUGGGGUAGUGGCUUACCAAGGCUUUGACGGGUAGCCGGCCUGAGAGGGGGAACGGCCACAAUGGGACUAAGGUAGGGCGCAGAAGGCAACGGGAGGCAGCGGUGGAGAGUAUUGCACAAUGGGCGGAAGCCUGAGGCAGCAACGCCGCGUGCGGGAUGACGGCCUUCGGGUUGUAAACCGCUUUCGCCUGUGACGAAGCGGGAGUGACGGUAAUGGGUAAGGAAGCACCGGCUAACUACGUG
rnacentral:rRNA from 1 species